GCCGAGUUCCAGCCAAUCACAGGCAUCCGCAGAACCCGGGACGGAAGGAACAUGCAGUUUCAGACUUAACUUUCGGCGGGCUCCCGGGUUCCCAGUGCUUCUUUGCUUAAGCUGCUAAGGGUAACAUAUUAACAUAUUUCACCGAUGAGGAAAUGUCGCUUGCUUCCGUUCUGUGCGUCGUGGACAGAUGGCGUCCCAAAGCACUGAAGCUCCUAGAGGAUACGUGUCAGUAUCCUGCUCUGGAAAAGAUGCGGAUGGCUGUUUUCCCAAACUCCGUCCUUGGGUAUCUGCUCACCCUUAUGCUUCUGCAGCUGCCCACACUGGAUGCAGCUCCCUCUUACCCAAUUUGGAGUUUCUCGAUGGUUGCAGUAUUCCUGGGACUCACUGGAAUAUUUGUCUGUUGGCAACUGUAUAGAAAACGUGUAAAGAAAGAGAGAAAGGAUGAAACUAGUCCCCUAGCCUAUUAUUUUUCAGAAUCUUCAGAACUGAAAGGGAGCAUAAACGCAUUGAUACGUGCAAAGGUUGAAGAGAAGAGAGGCUUUUCCUACUGA
rnacentral:lncRNA from 1 species